rnacentral:rRNA from 1 species
CCUACGGGGGCUGCAGUGGGGAAUAUUGGACAAUGGGCGAAAGCCUGAUCCAGCCAUGCCGCGUGUGUGAAGAAGGCCUUCGGGUUGUAAAGCACUUUCAGUGGGGAAGAAAGCCUUGGGGCUAAUACCCUCGAGGAAGGACAUCACCCACAGAAGAAGCACCGGCUAACUCCGUGCCAGCAGCCGCGGUAAUACGGAGGGUGCGAGCGUUAAUCGGAAUUACUGGGCGUAAAGCGCGCGUAGGCGGUCUGAUAAGCCGGUUGUGAAAGCCCCGGGCUCAACCUGGGAACGGCAUCCGGAACUGUCAGGCUAGAGUGCAGGAGAGGAAGGUAGAAUUCCCGGUGUAGCGGUGAAGUGCGUAGAGAUCGGGAGGAAUACCAGUGGCGAAGGCGGCCUUCUGGACUGACACUGACGCUGAGGUGCGAAAGCGUGGGUAGCAAACAGGAUUAGAUACCCGGGUAGUC